rnacentral:rRNA from 1 species
AUUGAACGCUGGCGGCAGGCUUAACACAUGCAAGUCGAGCGGAGAUGAGGUGCUUGCACCUUAUCUUAGCGGCGGACGGGUGAGUAAUGCUUAGGAAUCUGCCUAUUAGUGGGGGACAACAUUCCGAAAGGAAUGCUAAUACCGCAUACGUCCUACGGGAGAAAGCAGGGGAUCUUCGGACCUUGCGCUAAUAGAUGAGCCUAAGUCGGAUUAGCUAGUUGGUGGGGUAAAGGCCUACCAAGGCGACGAUCUGUAGCGGGUCUGAGAGGAUGGUCCGCCACACUGGGACUGAGACACGGCCCAGGCUCCUACGGGAGGCAGCAGUGGGGAAUAUUGGACAAUGGGGGGAACCCUGAUCCAGCCAUGCCGCGUGUGUGAAGAAGGCCUUAUGGUUGUAAAGCACUUUAAGCGAGGAGGAGGCUACUGAGACUAAUACUCUUGGAUAGUGGACGUUACUCGCAGAAUAAGCACCGGCUAACUCUGUGCCAGCAGCCGCGGUAAGAC